ensembl:lncRNA LINC00293 long intergenic non-protein coding RNA 293
GCCUGUGCCCUGUCCCCAGAGGACAUUGUGACAUGUUGUUUGGCUUAACAUCUAGACUCUGCCAAGAGAGGGGAUUAUUACAUAUUGCAGAGCCCAGCACCUAGGUGGAGUGACUCUCAUCUUUUUCUUCUACCCCGUAUAUAGCCAGCUUGGUGACCUACUAUUUGAGUCUAUACCCAGGCCCAGACCACAGAUGAAAUUGUGCAAUAUGUGGAACAAACACCUAAACAAUAUAUAACACCUUCCUUGGCUCUGUCUACAAAGGGCACUUUUAUAUAUCACUGGGACCAUCAACCAGGUGAUGUUAAUUAUCUUCCUGAAACCUGUCUACAAAGAGAGUUGUGUCGUAUACCUAGGCCCGUCAUGUGAUGUUGUGCCAUAUAACUGAGACCGUAUCAAAAGCCUAAUAACAAGACGUAUGUCUGGAGCCCCGAUAUGCACAGGAUGGUGAUAUAACCCUCUUCUCUGGAAUGGGCCCCACACAAAGGAAGGAUAGUGACAUAUUGCAAGCCCAGGCACACAGGCCCAGAGCACAGUUGAAAUUGUGACAUAUGUACACCAAGCAACCAAGCAAUGUAUAACACCUCAUUUGGCAAUGGAAUCGAGGGCACUUUUACAUAUCACUGAGACCAGCGCCCAGCUGAUGUGAAAUAUUGGCCUGAACCCUGCCUACAAAAGCAUUGUGGCUUUUAUCUAGCUCCAUUACAUAAGUGAUGUGACUUCCUUCUACUGCCUUGGCCCUGCACUUAUGGUGAAUCGUGACACAAAAUUGGGUAGAGCAACCAGCCUGGGCCCUGACCAGCACAGAGAUUGAGGCAUAUUGCUGAACCCAGGACCAAGAUGAAGUCACUCUCCUGCCUUGAUCCUGCACACAGGGACCCUUGUGACAUAUAUACAGGCCAAUUGCCUAGGUGAUGUUGUGCAAUAUACCUGAGACCAGAUCAAUGGCCUAAUAAUGACUCUUUUACCUAGAGCCAGGACAUGUGCAGGAUGGUAACUCUCAUCCCUGAACCUUUCCACAGGUGUUAUUGUCACAUAUACCUUUUCCAGCUCCAAAGUGAUUUAAUAAUCCAGCCUAGUUAUAGCCCACAGAUAAUAUUUGGACAUAUACCU